UGGUAAAAAUUUUAUCCAUUUGUAUUGUUAAAAAUCGGUGGGACAUGUGACAUGCCAUGUGUACCUUAUGCUAACUUACAACGACCAGUUUUUAACAGUAAAAAUUGAUAGAAUUUUUAAUA
rfam:Gossypium hirsutum cultivar TM-1 chromosome 21, whole genome shotgun sequence